rnacentral:tRNA from 1 species
GGGGCCGUGGUCUAACCUGGUAUGAUUCGAGCCUUGGGAGUUCGCGAUCCCGGUUCAAAUCCGGGCGGCCUCA